rnacentral:SRP_RNA from 1 species
CCGUGCUAGGCGGGGGGUUGGCGGUCCCCUGUACCUGAAACCCGCUUAUGCAGGGCUGAAUUCCUCCCCGAGGCUUGUGGCGCUUGUGCGGGAGCGGGCCACCGGGCGUUGAGGGUCGGAUCCCAUGCGAUGGGCUGCCGGCGAACCGGGUCAGGGCCGGAAGGCAGCAGCCCUAAGCCGGAAGGCUCAUGCGCCGUGGGGCCAUCUGGCCGGAGCCGCGGAGCCCGUCACCUGGCGGGCGUUGCCUGUCGACGGGAGGUGCACGG